GACGAACGCUGGCGGCGUGCUUAACACAUGCAAGUCGAACGGAAAGGCCCUGCUUGCAGGGUACUCGAGUGGCGAACGGGUGAGUAACACGUGGGUGAUCUGCCCUGCACUUCGGGAUAAGCCUGGGAAACUGGGUCUAAUACCGGAUAGGAGCCAUUUUUAGUGUGAUGGUUGGAAAGUUUUUUCGGUGUAGGAUGAGCUGGCGGCCUAUCAGCUUGUUGGUGGGGUAAUGGCCUACCAAGGCGGCGACGGGUAGCCGGCCUGAGAGGGUGGACGGCCACAUUGGGACUGAGAUACGGCCCAGACUCCUACGGGAGGCAGCAGUGGGGAAUAUUGCACAAUGGGCGCAAGCCUGAUGCAGCGACGCCGCGUGGGGGAUGACGGCCUUCGGGUUGUAAACUCCUUUCGCUAGGGACGAAGCUUUUUGUGACGGUACCUAGAUAAGAAGCACCGGCUAACUACGUG
rnacentral:rRNA from 1 species